ACUGUAUACAGCUUCUGUAGAGAUGCUACACCGAUAGGUUUAGCUAGCUUGUUAGCUACGUGCUAGCGCCGUGUUUAGCUUCCCAUGCUCGCUUUUUAACGGGGACAGAAUCCAGCACAGAUAUGAAGCAUUUGUCGGAAAAAAAGAAAAUUGAUAGAGAACACCAGGACACACAUCAGUGAUAAACCCGUCACGUUGCAUGUUAAAGUUAACAUCGCUACGCAGCUGCGACGCACACAGGACUGCGGCGAGGACACACAACCAGGACGUGGAUAAAAACAGGGACAUUUUAUCCAACAUAAUUCAUUGUGUGAAGUUUUGUGGGGCUUUUGUGUUGAUCUUUCCUCAACACUUUGUUUGGUUGUUUCCCCAACAAACUAGGUUCAUAGGUGCAUCUCAAAAUAUAUCUGUGUGUAUAUAUAGUUUUUUGUGCUUUCUCCCCUAUCAGGUCUCUGUAGAUCGUAGUUCCUUCUGGACCCUGGUCCUGACACCUACCGUGGCCCUGCUGACGCCUGCUGCUGCCAUCAUCAUCAUCAUCAUCAUCAUCAUCAUUAUUAUUUUAGAUAUUAAUCAUAUUACAGUAAUCAUAAACCAACAUUACCCUCUCCUAAAGUCUCUGUGCUCUCCCUCCCCACAGGCUUCUGUGGAUGGUGGUUCUAUCUGAUGGUGGUUCUAUGUGACGGUGGUUCUACCUGAAAGUGGUUCUAUCUGAUGGUGGUUCUAUGUGAUGGUGGUUCUAUGUGAUGGUGGUUCUAUCUGAUGGUGGUUCUAUCUGAUGGUGGUUCUAUGUGAUGGUGGUUCUAUGUGAUGGUGGUUCUAUCUGAUGGUGGUUCUAUGUGAUGGUGGUUCUAUGUGAUGGUGGUGGUCCCUGUGUGCGUCUGGUUUACUACUCACAAUUACUUGAAUCAUUCUGUCAUAUAGUCUCAUGUAUUAUACAUUGUUCAUUCUGUCCUCAUGACAUCAUUGUAGUCUGUCCAUCAGGAGACGGAUCCUCCUCUGACGUUCUCACUGAGGUUUCUUCCCUUUUUUCCCUCUUGGAAGGGUUUUUUCAUUGUUUGGAGAGUUGUUCCUGUGCCGAUGGAGGGUUUCGGGACAGAGGAUGUUGUAUGUGUACAGACUGUAAAGCCCUCUGAGGCCAAUUUGUAAUUUGCGAUUUUGGGCUAUACAAAAUAAAAUGAAUUGAAUUGAAUUAAAGCAGCCGAUUCAGAAGGGAAAUAAUAGAACACAAAGUCUUUGGAGAACCCAUUCCCACAGUAAGCGCCAUCCACAGAUAUGUACAGUGAUAACCGCCUUGCCUACUUUCUACAAUACAUUGCUUUAAAGGCUAAAGUAAGGGAUACGGUCUGUAUUGUUUAAUUCAAGACAAAGAUUAGAUGAAAGAUUGUAGCAUGAUUGACCCUGGCCGUACUCUGCGAGAUGUGCCCUCACACGUAUCCAAGGGUAUUUUUAGGUCGGUGCACAGUAAAUCCCUCUGGCCAGUGGUGCGUUAACGCUGUAUACCUGUCUUCGGUCUACGCACCACCACACUUGUGAGGUAACAUGAACAUAAUGUCAAUACAAAUACAUUUGAGGAAGUGAAACAAACUUUGGUUUGAUGGUCAAGCUAAUUCAGCUCAGUAGGUCGUUCUACCGUUUCACGAUAGGAAAAGCACAAGUACCAACAACAAAAUGAACAAAGGCGGGCUUCCUUGUAGCUGCAUUAGUUUCAUAGUCCUGGGUCAUUCUGUGUCACUGUCAUACUGGCACGGUUGAGUGAGUCAAUGGGUGUAUUACCCAUAGGAGAUGGCAGCUAAACCUAUUCUAGACCACAAAACAAAAAAAUUUAUGGUUUAUAAUAUUCCACAGCUUCAUCUGGCCGUGAAGCAGGCGACUGUGGGUGAGUGGGGAGCAGGUCGUCCUCCAAUCAGAGGGUUGUCGGUUCGAUCCCAGGCUCUGCUAACCCGCAUGUCGAUGUGUCCUUGGGCAAGACACUUAACCCAACAUGGCUCCUGUAGCUGCGACUACAGUGUGUGAAUGUUAGUGACUGAUGGCAGGUGUCACUGUGUGUGGUUCUCCUGUUAUCAGUGUAUGGAUGGGUGUGAAUGGGUGAAUGAUGUCAUGUAGUGUUAAAGGGCUUUGAGUGGUCAGAAGACUAGAAAAGCGCUAUACAAGUACAGUCCAUUUACCAUUUACCAUUUCUGAUGGGGAGAUUCCAGAUUCCUUUGAUCACAACACAAGUUGUACCUCUCAGAAGCGACCCUGGUCUACCGCUGCCAUGACAGUCAGUUGUAAUGACAGUCGGUUUCUCGGACUAAAACACCUCAUGCUUGAGUUCCCUCUCUAAUGCAAGGCAAAUACGUUUGUAGGCGACCUUCCAUCUCCCAACGAAGAGCCUCAUACGCCCCCCUUCAGAACAUCCAAACUAUGCUUUGCAUUUUGCCUUCACUCACUAGACAUGCAUUUAAAUGCACGUUUCCUCCUUUGGAUCACAUAUACGGAUUGACUGCAUGUGUUCAUGCAGAGAAAUCCAUUACCAUUGACUAAUGGCUAGAUAGGAGCAAUAUGACAGAAAGAACAAAAUGGGAAGAAGAAAAAAAGAUCGGUCAUAUGGUUAGUGUGUGUGUAUGUGUUGACAGUGGCAUUCUGACAGGUUCUUAGAGUCUAAUGUUCCUAUAAGCACAGUGAGUGUAUCUCCUCAACAAUCAACUCUGAUUGUUCAGCACAACACAUGUCAAUUAUCGUUCUAACACAGCACAAUGACUCUAUAACCUCAGUCCUGAUUGUGCGUUUGAGUGUGUUUGUGUGUGUGUCGGACUUUAAGCAGCGAGGAUCAGAUAUAAAUUAGUAAUGCUGAGCAUGCUGCUGGUGAGACUCUGAUUGUCACUAUAAUGUUCACCCUCUCAGCUCUGUGUCAUCUGACAUCCCUUCAUAUAUAUUAGACUGCGAUACACAGUGGCACCUCCCCAUCAGAACUCAUUCACAUUCAUACACCGCAGGACAACAGUGGGCGACUGUGUGUGAGUGGAGAGCCCGGUUCAAACCCCGGCUCUGCUAGUCAGCGUGUUGAUGUGUCCUUGAGCAAAACACUUAUCCCCAACAUUGCUCCCGUAGCCGUGACUACAGUGUGUGAAUGGGAUGAAUGUUAGUCCUGGUGGGCAGCUGGCGCUGUGUAUGGCAGCUCCCGUCAUCAAUGUGUGAAUGAGUGAAUGAUGACAUGAAGUGUAAAAGAGCUUUGAGUGGUUGAAUAGCGAUAUACUUACAGUCCAUUUUCCAUUUACAACCAUGCUCUCCACUGAGCCACAGCCCCGCUGUAUUUUAUAUAUUACUGGAAUAAUCCUGUUAAAGUGAUGGAAAAUGGUUAUGAAUGCUGCAUGAAAAUACUCCCAUAGAUGUAUACAACGCUCAUAAUAAAAUACUUGGGAAAAUGCCCAGAUUUAAAGAAAUGGCAUAGCAUUGCUAAUAAUGAAAUGAUACACACACGAUGAAAGGAAAUAAAAGCAUCAGUCAGCUGCUGCCUGCAGCGCUGCGCUGUCACAGAACUCCGUCUCAGUGUAACAAGUCAACUGCUAAUUACUCAACAAGUGAGAUUACAACCUGAGUGUGUCCCAGCUGCCGGCUACUUGUCAAACAUCUCUCCAACAGAAAUCAAUAGUUCAUCAUCUCUACAUAUUACUACAUCUCAGGAGGAGAAAGAGGAGAAAAAGGGAGCCCAGGAGAGGAGAAGAUAUGUCCAUGUGUUCACCAUGGGUACGAGAACCAAAUCAUGUUUUCAGGUUAACGUUCAUUUUUGAUGAAGAACCACAUGACGCUAACCCAGGGAUCCAUAUCCAUGAAUCACUACUGAUGACCAAGUCAAACUGCGGGCGUUAUGACAACAGAAGCACAGCUAGAGAGUCAGACUGACUGUACACAAACACUGACUAAAUAUCACAAUCAUAAAGUGAGAGAAGCUAGAAAGUGAGCUUCUUACCUGUUAUUUUAGAGUUAUAGUAAUUUUACAACAUUCAGCUACGUUAGCGAUCUGAUGAAACCAUAUAUUCUCAUAUUAAGAAAACAGAAAUAUAUUUCUAAUCUCAUAGCAGCUUUAAUUAAGAUCUUUACUUACAAUAAGUGCAUUUCAACCAUAAGGAUACAGACACAAAAGAACAAGAAACAAGAAAGUGCAAUUUCAUUAAAUAAGCCGAUUUAUAACUUGCUGUAGAGAGAUUAUAAUUACAAUGUAAGUGCUACAGUUAGUGUUUUAGUGGAGGUAGAGUCUGAAGAGGUGUGUCUUUAGUCUGAAGAUGUGAAGGCUCUCUGUGGUCCUGAUGUCUUCAGAGACCUCCUUCCACCAUUUAGGAGCAGGACAGCAAAGAGUGGAGAUCUAGUCGAGUGUUUUGCUAUCAGUGAGGAGGAACAAGCAGUUUAUCACAUGCAGAGCGGAGAGUGCGGGUCGGGAUGUCGGGUUGGACCAGGUCCUGGAUGGAAGCUGGACCCCAUCCAUUCACAGCACGGUACGUGAGCACCAUGUUUAGAACUGGAUAAGCCACCGGUACCAGUGAAGAGAGCGGAGGAGUGGAGGAGUGAGGGAGAACUUAGGAAGGUUAAAGACCAGUGGAGCUGCUGCAUUCUGGAUGAGCUGCAGAGGUGGAAUGGUGGUAGCAGGAGACCUGCAGGAGAGAGUUACAGUAGUCCAGGAGGGAGAUGACACGAGCCUGAAUAAGUACCUGCGCUGCCUUCUGAGUGAGAAGAGGAGGGGACCCAGGACGGAACCCUGAGGAACUCCAGUAGUAAGAGGACAAGGUUCCGACACAGAUCCUCGCCAGGUUACUCGGUAGGUGCGGCCGUCGAGGUAGGACGAGAGAAGGGAGAGAGCAGAGCCUGAGACACCAAGUUCCUGAAGGGAGGAGACAAGGAUCUGGUGGUUGACUCUGUCAAAUGCAAUAGAGAGGUCCAGAAGGACAGAGAGGAGCUCUAGCAGUGUGGAGUUGCUCUGAGACAGAUGUCCAUAUUUUUGUCUUAAUAGUCAUGACAUACAGCCAUCAAUCAAUUGAUCUAAUGCUUUUACAUGAAACAUAGAUUAAAAAGCUGGUCUUUUAAGCGGAACUAAUUGAUCAACUUUUGACUCUAUUUUUAACUAUUGCUGGUCAGGUUUUUUGUAGGAAAUACAAUCGAAACAAAAAGUAAACUCCCUACUUGUGUCAUUGUUAUUGUGGAAGAUUUUAUCGUGAGCAUUUUCAGAUUGUUAAGUGGCCAAACACUACCCCAAACCGUUGUAGAAUGUUAGUAGUACCAAUCUAAUGGCCAUAAUAGGGAUGAAAGGCUUUUGAUGUUUUCAUCAUAUAUAUGACAUUUAGCUGGUUAGAUGAUCAUUGAAAAAUAACACAGAUAAAAAACAGACUUUGUUCUUACUUAUUUAAAUUUUGACAGACUGCGUUUUACUGCGGUAUUGUGCUAUGAAAACGGAAAUGUGAGACUUCGUAAAGGACGUAGUUAGCAGACCAAUCACAGCCUUGUGCGCUCCAGGAGGCUGCGUCGCUUUUAACGCUAGAGAAAUAGAGAAAUGGGUCGACGCACGCAAGGAGGUGUGAAAAGACAUGCGAGGGACACGCAAGGGACACGCAAGGGACUCUUGCGUUUCCUUGCGUCGCUCUGAAAAUGCAGAAGCAUAAACUAGGCUUUAAGUAAACUUAAGGGUGUGUGUGUGUGUGUGUGUGUGUGUGUGUGUGUGUGUGUGUCAACAGAAAGUCACACCCUGCUGAUAUCUGCUAAAAUGUGCCGCUGACUUGGAGUCAACGAUUAAACAAUUGAGUCUGAAAGUCAGAGCAGCGAUGCUGUGUGAGAGCUAAUGUGUGGAUGGAUAUUGAUUGUCAUUUUUACAGGUCAUUUCCUCUGACGAUAAUUAAUAUCUGUUUCUCAUUCAUCCGACGGUCCACUGUCUCUGUUGUUUAACCCCGAAGGCGAAAUCGGCCUUAGUGGACCCAGAGGAAGAAUGGUGAGCAGAAAGUCACUAGUUUGAAUCCACUGAAUGGAAUAUCAAAUGCGGAGCUUAUUAAUCAAUAAUUAGGUUGUUGACAUUUACUGCAUUGUUUUAAUGUCUUUAAAUCUCUUUCUUUUCUUUAAAUUGUCUGAAAUUUCAAUUUAUUUCUAGGGGGACUGCCCAUUAUUCUCAAGCUUCGAUAGUCUGAAAAAAGAUUUUUCUUGGAACAAAGGACUAUAUGUCCAUCUAUCUGCCCUGCUCUGCUUUGCCAAGCUCUGCAGCGAAUCCUGAUGUUGUUCCUGAUCUGCCUGUUUACAUCGUUUGCCUGUCUGCUCAAACAGUUUGGAGGACUGGCCGACUGGUUUUGACCCUGCCUGAACACGAGUGAAGAACUUUCUGUUGUGCUUUUGUGUUCAAGUACCUGUAAUCCUUACAACUGAUGAUAGUUCCAGGACUGCUUCAUUAACGCUUAACGCUGAAGUACUUGCAGGGUGUGUGUAGCCUGCAGUCUUGGUUUCACUACCCCGUUCAGGUCACUCUGGUUCUGUAGAAACGUGCUCGUGCUGCUGUUACGGAUUCAAGCAGUAGAGCACACAUAGUAGUAGAAAUUACAAUACAUGUAGUAAUGUUUAGUGUUAGAAUUGUAGUCUGUGUGUUAUUAAAUAUGAGUUAUUACAUUAGCAGGUUAGAUUAAAUAAUUAUAAUAUGAAUCAAACACCAUUUAUAGUCAUUUAAGUCAUAUAAUUACUGUACACAUUAACAUCCUGCCACGAUGUAAUGUUAAAACCUGGGGAUGGAUGCUAAUUGCCGUCCUUUAUGGAUUUCUCCUACUUAUAUCCCCAAAGAGGGUUUUUGGGGAGUUUUUGCUCACUUUCAGGUAGUGAAUGAACAAAGGAUGUACGACAGCCCUGCAAGGCAAACAUUCUGAUUUUGGACCAUAAGUGAGUUAAGAUGUGAUGGAAUGUGAUGUUAUUAUGCAUGCUAUGUUAUGUUUACAUUGUGGUGAACCAGGGGUGGGAUCCAAGCACAGGAGGCGGAUCUCCAAGCUCCGAUUGGGGGAGGUAAUAAAGGGGAUAUAUUAUCCUGUGCAGAUGCUGCAGCCACUAGGAACGUGGCAUUGGUCACACCUGCGGCCCAUCAGUUAAUUAGAGGUGGAGGAUACAUCUAGGUAGCAGAGCAGACACAGAAAGACAGACGGAGACCGAGCCCCAGUAGCAGCGAAGAGGUAACGACCAGGACCCUCCCCUUCCCUCCCCUCCCCUCCCCAGUAAAGAGCUCACCAAGCAGACUGGUGAAUGACAUUGAGGCCUACCUAGAGGUUUUAGAGAGGACUGCAGAGAGGGAACGUUGGCCUAAAGCGGAGUGGGCAGGUAUCGUAGCCCCUUUUUUUAUUGGCGACGCUCAAAAAGCCUGCCGGGACCUUUACCGCACUGAAGUAAAGAAUUAUGGGGCAUUGAAAGCUACCAUUUCAGCUCAUUAUGGUCACAACCUGCAGACGAGCGCCCCACAGUUCCACUUAUCACUUUCACUUGUCACUUUCUGUUUGCUAGUGCACUUUAUUUUUCAUUUUUAAAUAUUUGUGACUUUUAAAAUUUGUUAGUAAUAUAAGCCCAUAGCCUUAUAUUACUAACAAAUAGCAUUAUUUUAUUCCUCUUGCACUAUGUUGUCUUGUCGUCGAUUGUCGUACUGUCUGCUGUUACGCACCAACCGCCAAGUCAAAUUCCUUGUAUGUCUGACAUACCAAUGUUUCCUGAUUCCUGGGCUUAUGACUCUGCUGCCCCAGUGCAACCGCAACCCCUUAUGCGAUUGACGCGCAGUUGGUUAACCUCGGGAGGGACCUCCAGCCCAGGACAGAGUUGUCAUUGACCUGUAUAUCUCACUACCAGGAGCUGCCCCGAGACAGUGGAUGAUCUUGUGACGCUGUUGGAGAAUCACCAGGUCACAGCAGAGUUGAUGCAGAGCAGUAGGAAAGAGCCCUUACGACGCAGCCAAUUUGACCCCAAGAGAGACUGGCUGAGGAAGGGUAAUAUGGAGACACUGCCCCUAAGUCAGAGGCCCAAAGGGGGCUUUUCCACAUUUUGCAAAAAAGAAUGGCCUCUUAUCUUUAUAAGAAGCCAUUGCUAAGCUGGUGGAACUUGUGGUGGAACAGUUGCUAGUCCCCAAACGCUAUAUUCCAAAAGUGUUGUAACUGGCCCACUCACACAUGUUGGGAGCUCAUCUAGGGAUAGAGAAGACCUACAACCGAAUCCUGGAGCGCUUCUACUGGCCGGGGGUAAAGAAGACGAUCCAGGAUUGCUGCAAAAUCUGCCCGGAGAUCCAGAAGACAGCUCCAAAGGUAAACUACCAAAAUCCCUUAAUACCGCUACCAGUAAUUGACCUCCCCUUCCAGAGGGUGGGCAUGGAUAUAGUGGCAACGCUGCCGAAGUCCAGUAGGGGGCACCUUUAUAUCCUGGUCAUCAUGGAUUAUGCCACCCGGUACCCAGAGGCAGUCUCGUUAAGCAAUGCAGUGCUGAAGCAGUAGCGAGGGAAUUAUUCCUUCUCUUUAGUAGAGUUGGUAUUGCAGAGGAAGGCCUAACUGGGACCAGGGUACCUGUUGAGUGAUGAAAGAGAUGUGCAAGCUGCUGAAGGUGAGCCAAACAAGAACCUCUGUCUACCACCUCCAGAUGGACAGCCUGGUAGAACGUUUUAAAAAAAACGUAAAACAAAUGCUGAGGGCUAUUGAUGUGGAUGGGAAAAACUGGGACCAAAUAAUCCCCUUUGUCCUGUUGUCUGGAUUCUCAAUCCCAGAAGUUCACAGGGUUCUCGCCGUUUGAGCUGCUGUGUGACCCAGGGGCAGGCCGUACCUGGCCGAAGAAGCAUGGGAGCAGCAGCCAUCAGCCCACAGCUCAGGCAUAGUGUAUGUGGACCAGAUGCAAGAGAGGAUAGCCGCUGGUGCUGGAACAUAGUGUAUGCAGGAAGCCCAACACGCCCAAGCCAGAAUCUAUAACCGUAAAGCUCAACUACGGGAGUUCCAGCCUGGGGAGUUUGUCUUGGUCCUGAUUCCGACUGUUGAAUGCAAGUUCCUGGCCAAGUGGCAUGGACCCUAUGAGGUGAUCGAGAGGAUGGGUGAGGUAAACUAUAAGGUGAGACAACCUGGGAGAAGGAAAACCUGCCAAACUUAUCACAUCAAUCUGUUGAAGAGAUGGCACGCCCUUCGGUCAAAAUCCCAGAUCAUGUCCCUUUACAGGUACCUCUGGGCCCCCAUCUCAGUCCGACCCACCGGAAAGACAUUGUGACACUGACCGGGCAGUUUAAAGAUGUGUUUUUAGACCUAUGUGAUUCAACAUGACAUCAUCAUUUAACCUGGGAAAAGGGUGAGGCUCAGACCCUACUGCAUCCCUGAGGCAAAAAGGGAGACCAGUAUAGAAGAAGAGUCACGUAGUGCCUGGUCCAGCCCAUUGUUUUUAAUUCCAAAACCCAAUGGCAGCGAGAGAUUCUGCAAUAAUUUUAGAAAAUUGAAUGAAAUCUCAAAAUUGGACCCCAUGCCAAGGGUUGAUGAGCUAAUUGAGCAAUUUGGCCCACCCUGGUUUGUGUCCACUCUCAACCUCACUAAAGGUUACUGGCAGGUUCCCCUCACAGAUGCUGCAAAGGAGAAGACGAGCAGAAUACCUCGGCUACACCAUUGGGAGAGGCAGUGUAAGACCCCAAUCCCGGAAAGUGGAAGCCAUCGCCACCUGGCCUAAGUCAGCAACUAAGCGGCAAGUAAAAACGUUCCUGGGCCUGGUCGGCUUUUAUCAGUGCUUUAUACCUCACUUUGUCACCAUUGCAGCCCCUUUACAUGAGAUGAUGAAAAACAGCCACCCACACCAGGUUCUUUGGAGCACCAACGCUGUGGAAGCAUUUGCAACCCUUCGGAAGGCCUUGUGCACUGAGCCGAUCUUAAGCACCCCUAACUUCCAGGACACGUUCGUCGUCCAUACAUAUGGCUCAGGAUCAGGUAUUGGAGCUGUGCUGUCCCAGGUUAGAGGAGGAGAACACCUCCGGGUUGACACAACAUGAAGAAGCUUUAAGCCAAAGGUGUGAUCAUUGAAUGUACUGUAGUAUUUAGUGAACAGGGAUUGGUCAGGUCAGUGAGGGAUUUCAGAUUCGACCAUUAGAUGGAGCCAGAAGGAAGUCAUGUGAUGCCUUGGAGAAGAAAGGAAUUCACGAGGGAGGAGUUGGACUUGAAUGUGCAGCCAAUCACAUACGACUGCAGCACAAGGGUCGCGCCAGCUCCUGGGAGAUUGGAAGAGCUGAGCUGGAGAAGGAGCAAACAGCCUCCUGUGAACCAAUAUUGAUAGCCAUAUGAGACUUUGACCAAGGGACUUCUCUAUUUCGCGAGAUAAUAUACUCUUCAGACUUUAUUCCGCUGUAUUGCUUAUUACUUCUGUUAGUUAUUAAGUUCUUUAUCAUUUUUAAACUCGAGCCAGUUGACUCUUAUUGAUUUCUCGUCUCAGAAGGGCCGAGGGGAACAGUAGUGGUCCUUGAUCAGAACCCAACACUGCAUAGGUUCGACGCUCUGCAAGAAGUUGCGCAUGCGCGUUACAGAUGUGAUUAGACUUAAAGAAGUAAUGUUUCAAACAGCCCGCAUUACUAUGUCCUUAAAGCUUCUUGUUAACAGUACACCGUCUGUAGUUCCAUAUUUAUGUCGUUUUGAAUGAAAUAUUCUGAGUAUUAAAUGAAAUUUGAACCCAAUUUCUGUGCUGAAAUCGCAUAUAGUGCUCACUGCGUAUCUUGCAAUGUACCAACAGUUUGUGUUUUUAUUCCAAACUUUUUGUUCUGAUAUAUGCAAUGAAUAAGAAUAUCAUGGCGAAGGAGUGGUUAUUUUAAAUGGUUCCAUUUUUUAUGUGUUCUGGUCAAACUCACAUUGAUUGCAUUUACAAAUAUUUCCACUGAGAUUCCGGGUAAUACCCGAUGGAUAUGAAUCAGGCGUUGAACUGAGAAAUAUGGAAUCAUUUAAUCUCCUCUCAGUUUUGUGUGCUGUAUCUGAGCCGCUGUCUAGUCCUCCCUCAUACUGAUCUGUGUCUCUCCCUCUCUUUUCUUUAAUCACAUUUAGUUUCAUUUUCACCUUCAUCAUCUCUUAAUCAAACAUCCCAGAUCACAUUUUCUAAAAUUGGACUGAGUGCGUGUGACUAAGCCUCAUGUCUGUCUGACUGUCGCUGUGUAUUCACUGUAAAAAAUGAAGCAAUCAGAAGAAAUGCUUGGAUCUCAAAGUGAGGUACCACAGUAUAAUAUAGUAUAGUGGAAUAUAUUUGAUAUUUAUCUGACAUGUUCUCUGCUGCAGGUUAUAGGAGGAUUUUAAUCUGUCAGAAGGGUUUUUAUGACUUACUUACUUCCCAUAAGGGGGAGAAUCCUCCGGUUGGACUGUCCAACGUAAGUCUAUGAGAACAUUACUUGAUUACUCUUGAUUCAUUCGCUCAGUAAACAUAGUAAACAUGAGUGCAUGGUUUUAAUUUGUAAUUUCAAUUCUUCACUACAAGAUGAUGUGUAUAGUUAUGGUCACUUUAGAGUCAAAUGGGCCAAAAGGCAGAGUCGCCUUUAGGGAAGAGCUUACUGUUAUUGACAACUCACUGACUCUACCAGAGACGGCACAUAAUCAAAGACGGCGAUGGCAAAAUUGCCAAACUCAAGGCGUCACCCAUUGGAUUAAUGCGUGAUAUCACAAGGAUUAUGGCCACUGUAUGUUCCUGAAUGGGGACCAGGACGGGCGUGAAUAUAUCUUAAAGUACUGUCUCGUGAGUCAUUCCAGCAGCAUGCGUUCAUAAACAGAAGUCAUGGUGACAUCAUCCUUUGCUUUGUGAACUGACGUUUUAAACCCUUUUGUUCGGGCUAAAUUGGUUUCAUUCGCAAGCUAUAAACAGAAGUUACCAUAUUUAAAAUGAUGAUGAGUGACAGCUGCAGUAGUGUUAGUGACCUGUCAGUUAUUGUUAAACCAACCCUUAAUCGUAGGUUGCUUUAUUGUCUAUUUUACUUUAGAUCUGCAAAAUAAUUAUGAUGCUGUAUUCAAGAAGACUUGAGACCAUAAACAAAUCUUUACAAUGUUUACUGAGGUAAUAAAUCAAGAGAGAAUUAGUCAUUUCCACGUUGGCUUCACCUGGUAGACGUGGCUGCCGCCUGCUUAAAAUGUGUCACCUGCAAAACUGUUGUUAUCCUAUUGUACGCCGCACCUGACAUAGAGCAAGAGGGAGAGAGAGAGAGCCCUCCUUCUUUCCGUCAAUCAUAUGUGAUUGCUUGGUUGUGUGUUCAGCAACAAACUGCUUUGCCCCAGGCAAGAGGCUCCCCUUGUAUCGACACCCCCCAAUGUCAUCAGCUGCUGACAGUUUAGCCAAUGUGAAAAUGAAAGGGGCCUUUUUACUUUGAGCCCUGAAAUCUCCUUGCAGCAGGUAACCUGUAGAAUGGUGAAGCCAGUUUGUCUUUCAGCACCUUUAGGGGUGCAUGUAUUGUAAAGAGCUAUCAGUGAGAACUGACCCAAUGGAUCGGAAGCUUCUGCACUGCUUACAAAUCACCGACAGUCUUCUGCUGACUACAAGCUUCGAUGGAGGGAAAUGAUUAGAGGGACUUUUCAACAAUACGAGUCAUCAUAAACUUCAGAUGAGCCAUGUUUGCUUUACAUUAAUAAUCGAAAUGAAGUGAAGCAAACUCUACUAAUACAUAUAAACUAAACUGUGUUCUAUUUUUGCCAACAUGCAUUAUGUCAGGUUGUUCUUCUCCAGGCAGAUUCUGAAUGCAUUAUAUUGUUUAAACUUUUGAAUUUGGUGUUCAUCUCUAUGACGGUAGCAAAUUCUUAAAGACUGCACUAAGAUCUGGACUGAGGCCUCCUUCAAUUCUGCUUGUUUCUCUUUUUCUCUCUUACACUUCUGCUAUUUCUCUCUCUGUAAUGAGUGAGUGUGUGUGUGUGUGUUUGUGUGCACAUGUGUGUUGGAUUGAUGCGGACAGCUUCAGCCACGCACCUGCUGAAUUUGAUUGACCGGGAUGACUCCGGCAAUCACAGUGGCCGCACCCCCGCCUCCCCACGCUCACCCCCGCUCCCUUCACUCCUUCCUCCUCCUUCCUCCUCCCAUCAUUCAUUCUCUUUCACUCACGUUCCUCCCAUUUCUCUCUCCUUCUCCUUCCCAGUCCUUCGUCUCCUCCCCCAAAAUACUGCGCCUCUGUUCCUUCCUUCACUUCUCCACACCUCGUUUGCCAGCCGCGGUUGCCUGGCAACAGCUGCUCUCGCUCUGUCUUUUUCUCUGUUGCCCAGGUAUGGUGAAUCUGUGAAAAGGGUAAAGAAGAUUAAAAGUAUAUACAAUUUAGGUCAAGAAGGAACAAACAAAGAGAAGGAGAUUUCUUAGGAGAGGAGUCGUCGUGGCGCAGGGGUUAGAGAAGUUGUGCUGGGAAGCACAAGGUUGGUGGUUUGAUUCCAGGCUGCCCCAUGUUACAUUACAUUACAGGUCAUUUAGCAGACUCUUUUAUCCAAAGCGACUUACAUUACAUUUUAAACCCAUGGCUUUUUCACAUUUUUUUUUGCCCGGGGAGCAAUUAGGGGUUAGGUGUCUUGCUCAGGGAAACUCCGACAUGCAGAUGCGGCAGCCCGGGAAAUUGAACCAC
ensembl:lncRNA